AAGAGUGGGUCACGUGAGUACAUGGCUGAAAGGCAGCCACCUACAAGCCAAGAAUACAGGGCUCAAAGUAAACCAGCAGCUUAAUACAGGGCUCCUAGUUUCCAGCACUGUGAGAGUUAAGUGUUGGCUCAAGCCAAGGGAUUAGACUCUGACUGCAUCUCUACAUAGACGUCGAAUCAGACUAUGGGAUGGCUUUCCUGAACUCAUAUGCCCAGAUGAGAAGCAGGAAGAACUGGGGAGGAGGCAAACUUGACCCAAAGCUGACCCUCUGCCUUCUCACCGGUGCCUCCUGUCUCCUCUGCCUAGCAAGGGGAGGGCCCGGAGGCCCUGCUCUCUUCCUCAGGAGUAGAGUAUCGCAAGAGUCACUGAAGGUUUGAGAUAACUCAGCUAACACCCUUGGUCCCAUUAAU